GACGAACCGUGCGAACGUUGUUCGGAAUCACUGGGCUUAAAGGGCGCGUAGGCGGUCUGCUAAGUUGGAUGUGAAAACUCUGGGCUUAACCCAGAGCCUGCAUUCAAUACUGACAGGCUAGAGUUCUGGAGGGGAUAGCGGAAUUCCUGGUGUAGCGGUGAAAUGCGUAGAUAUCUGGAGGAACACCGGUGGCGAAGGCGGCAUCCUGGACCGGUAUUGACGCUGAGGCGCGAAAGCUAGGGGAGCAAACGGG
rnacentral:rRNA from 1 species